AACGAACGCUGGCGGCAGGCUUAACACAUGCAAGUCGAACGCCCCGCAAGGGGAGUGGCGCACGGGUGAGUAACGCGUGGGAAUAUGCCCUUCGGUUCGGAAUAACACAGGGAAACUUGUGCUAAUACCGGAUACGAUCUACGGAUGAAAGAUUUAUCGCCGAGGGAGUAGCCCGCGUAGGAUUAGCUAGUUGGUGAGGUAAUGGCUCACCAAGGCGACGAUCCUUAGCUGGUCUGAGAGGAUGAUCAGCCACACUGGGACUGAGACACGGCCCAGACUCCUACGGGAGGCAGCAGUGGGGAAUAUUGGACAAUGGGGGAAACCCUGAUCCAGCCAUGCCGCGUGAGUGAUGAAGGCCUUAGGGUUGUAAAGCUCUUUCAGUAGGGAAGAUAAUGACGGUACCUACAGAAGAAGCCCCGGCUAACUUCGUGCCAGCAGCCGCCGUAAAAC
rnacentral:rRNA from 1 species